rnacentral:rRNA from 1 species
UCUUCGGCAAUGGACGCAAGUCUGACCGAGCAACGCCGCGUGAGUGAAGAAGGUUUUCGGAUCGUAAAACUCUGUUGUAAGAGAAGAACGUUGAUGAGAGUGGAAAGUUCAUCAAGUGACGGUAUCUUACCAGAAAGCCACGGCUAACUACGUGCCAGCAGCCGCGGUAAUACGUAGGUGGCAAGCGUUGUCCCGGAUUUAUUGGGCGUAAAGCGAGCGCAGGCGGUUGAUUAAGUCUGAUGUGAAAGCCCCCGGCUCAACCGGGGAGGGUCAUUGGAAACUGGUCAACCUGAGUGCAGAAGAGGAGAGUGGAAUUCCAUGCGUAGUGGUGAAAUGCGUAGAUAUAUGGAGGAACACCAGGGCGAAGGCGGCUCUCUGUCUUAACGACGCUAGGCUCGAG